rnacentral:rRNA from 1 species
UACGAAGGGGCUAGCGUUGCUCGGAAUCACUGGGCGUAAAGCGCACGUAGGCGGAUUGUUAAGUCAGGGGUGAAAUCCUGGAGCUCAACUCCAGAACUGCCUUUGAUACUGGCGAUCUCGAGUCCGGGAGAGGUGAGUGGAACUGCGAGUGUAGAGGUGAAAUUCGUAGAUAUUCGCAAGACACCAGUGGCGAAGGCGGACUCACUGGCCCGGUACGUGACGCUGAGGUGCGAAAGCGUGGGGAGCAAACA